rnacentral:rRNA from 1 species
GAUGAACGCUGGCGGCGUGCCUAAUACAUGCAAGUCGAGCGAACGGACGAGAAGCUUGCUUCUCUGAUGUUAGCGGCGGACGGGUGAGUAACACGUGGAUAACCUACCUAUAAGACUGGGAUAACUUCGGGAAACCGGAGCUAAUACCGGAUGAUAUUUUGAACCGCAUGGUUCAAAAGUGAAAGACGGUCUUGCUGUCACUUAUAGAUGGAUCCGCGCUGCAUUAGCUAGUUGGUAAGGUAACGGCUUACCAAGGCAACGAUGCAUAGCCGACCUGAGAGGGGGAUAGCCCACAUGGGAGGGGGACCGGCGACAGUAGUACUGGGGGAGGGCGCAGACGGCAACGGGACGCAGCGGGGGGAAGUCUGGCGGAACAGGCCGGAGUGAGUGAUAGAGGUGUCGGGUGCGUAAAGAUGUUUUAUGGGGAGAAAACAUAUUUGGAAGUAGAUGAACAGAGCGUGACGGUAAUUAAUAAAAAAGCCCCGGCUAACUACGUG